rnacentral:lncRNA from 1 species
GACAGAGCAGCUAGAUUUCCUCAUGUAAUUGAGGAAAUCUUAGCUGCUAUCAUGGAAAAUCUUAGUUGCUAUAGCUAAAGACUUUCUUUACUCAUUAAGUAUUCUUCUAAUAUUAUUCUAAGUCCUAAAAUUUUAUUGAAUAAAUUAAUCAACUAAACUAUUCCUCCAUAAACACUCAAAAGGGACGCUAGAUAAAUUAUUAUGUUUUAUCUCCUUGAUGAAGACCCAGACCAAUUAGACUAAAGUGGGCCAAAUUUGCACCUCAGCGAUACACCCUCCUUGUUUCUUGACAGUAUUAAAUGUUCUAAAAGGCAUGUUAAGGCCUACCAUUUGCUAAAUGAAAAACUGAGAUAUGACAGAAUUUAUUGCAUCAUUUGAUCGAAUGAUCAAAAGCAUGAGAUAUGAUGAUGCUAUAGUGUCACUACUAACAUGCGUUUCUUGAUUCAAGAGGGAAAGAAGACACUGAAAAUCUAUUUGCCAGACUAAUCUUAAUUUAUUAAUUUUAAGAAGUGAGAAUAGUUCAAGUGCAUCAAAAGCUCAUGUCUACUUCUAGUUAUUAGCUGCUAGUGCCUUUCUCUUUUACUGGAAUCCCAAUUCAAUUCUACUUAGUCUUGACUUUAUAGUGUACAAAAUAGAAUCUAUAAUUUUCUCAAUUUAGUUGUUGCUAUUUUACUUGUUAGCCCGUGGCUAGUUGAAUUCUCUAUUGUAGUAAUUUGUUAUUAAGAAAAAGCUAAGGCGGCCGUUUAAGGUUUGGUUAGUCUAAAAUGUGAUGACAUAAUAUUAAAAAAGUUAUCUAUAUUGCUAUUUUCACUAAUUUAAGGCCUUGGCACAUAAAUAAGAGUUGUCACUCCUUAUAUUGGUCAAAGAACACUUUAUUUAAACUACUAAUAAUCCUUCAAGGGAAACUAGAUAAAGAAGCGCUCCUCUUGAUUUAGGGGACUCUUUUAGCCAUCUAAAAUCUGGGCAAAGUUCUCUUUAUUCGUCAACAUCUCCAGGUUAUUAUAGGACCAACGAACCUAAAAUGAUGGUGUUGGAUCGUCAUCAAAGACCUUUAGAUUGUGUUCGUCUCAAAUUCUCAAGUAGCACCAUCAGAAAGUUCAACUUGUAUCUACUAAUUUACUUCGGAACAUAGUGGAAGCACAAAAUUCAUCACAUGCUCGCUCUUCUAGUUGAUCAUUUGAAAGUUAAGACUUCAUAUUUGGAGGUAGCACAUUCAGCGUCUCUCAUAGUAAAUUUAUUUAUUGUCAAGAAACUUUAAUACUUGACUAUAUUGUCCAAAAUUGUCGCAAUGAAAUCAAAUUAUAUUUGUUCUAAUUGCUUCUACGACAAGUUUCUCAAAUCUCCACCUGGUACUUUAUUGAAACAUACCAUAAUUAUUUGUCUCGCAUCAACAAUUAUAAUUAUCAUGAUUCAACCCCGGUACCAUUUGUCAUGACUAAUUGAUAACUAACUCAUCAAUUUGUUUAGCUUGAACCAUUGAUAAAAAAUAUUUAAUAUAAAAUAAUUUAUUUAUCAAAUCCUUAUAAAUUAAUCCAAUUAUGGGUCAAUGUAAGUUUACCAUUUCUCCAAUGUGGGAUUAAAUUUAUGAUAUUAUAAUUUCUUCAUUUAAGGAUUUGAUAUCGUGCCAGGGAUUAAUAUGGUUCAGAAUUAAAUUUUAACAUGUUGCGUAUAAGUUCAAUUGCAA